rnacentral:rRNA from 1 species
GAUGAACGCUGGCGGCGUGCCUAAUACAUGCAAGUCGAGCGAACGGACGAGAAGCUUGCUUCUCUGAUGUUAGCGGCGGACGGGUGAGUAACACGUGGAUAACCUACCUAUAAGACUGGGAUAACUUCGGGAAACCGGAGCUAAUACCGGAUGAUAUUUUGAACCGCAUGGUUCAAAAGUGAAAGACGGUCUUGCUGUCACUUAUAGAUGGAUCCGCGCUGCAUUAGCUAGUUGGUAAGGUAACGGCUUACCAAGGCAACGAUGCAUAGCCGACCUGAGAGGUGGAUCGGCCACACUGAAACUGGGACACGGUCCAGACUCCUAGGGGAGGCAGCAGUAGGAAAUCUUCGGCAAGGGGCGAAGGCCUGACGGAGCAACGCCGCUGGAGGGAUGAAGGUUUUCGGAUCGUAAAACUCUGUUAUUGGGGAAGAACAUAUGUGUAAGAAACGGGGCAAACCUGGACGUAACUAAUUCAGAAAGCCACGGCUAAUUACGU